GAUGAACGCUGGCGGCGUGCCUAAUACAUGCAAGUCGAGCGAACAGACGAGGAGCUUGCUCCUCUGACGUUAGCGGCGGACGGGUGAGUAACACGUGGAUAACCUACCUAUAAGACUGGGAUAACUUCGGGAAACCGGAGCUAAUACCGGAUAAUAUAUUGAACCGCAUGGUUCAAUAGUGAAAGACGGUUUUGCUGUCACUUAUAGAUGGAUCCGCGCCGCAUUAGCUAGUUGGUAAGGUAACGGCUUACCAAGGCAACGAUGCGUAGCCGACCUGAGAGGGUGAUCGGCCACACUGGAACUGAGACGCGGUCCAGACUCCUACGGGAGGCAGCAGUAGGGAAUCUUCCGCAAUGGGCGAAAGCCUGACGGAGCAACGCCGCGUGAGUGAUGAAGGUCUUCGGAUCGUAAAACUCUGUUAUUAGUGAAGAACAAAUGUGUAAGUAACUAUGCACGUCUUGACGGUACCUAAUCAGAAAGCCACGGCUAACUACGUG
rnacentral:rRNA from 1 species